rfam:Anolis carolinensis chromosome 5, whole genome shotgun sequence.
ACAAAUGUAGCUUAGUGAUAAAGCACAUGUUUGGCAUGGAAAAGUCUCUAGGUUCAAUUCCUGGCAUCUCCA